AGAGUUUGAUCCUGGCUCAGGAUGAACGCUAGCUACAGGCUUAACACAUGCAAGUCGAGGGGCAGCAUGGUCUUAGCUUGCUAAGGCCGAUGGCGACCGGCGCACGGGUGAGUAACACGUAUCCAACCUGCCGUCUACUCUUGGACAGCCUUCUGAAAGGAAGAUUAAUACAAGAUGGCAUCAUGAGUCCACAUGUUCACAUGAUUAAAGGUAUUCCGGUAGACGAUGGGGAUGCGUUCCAUUAGAUAGUAGGCGGGGUAACGGCCCACCUAGUCUUCGAUGGAUAGGGGUUCUGAGAGGAAGGUCCCCCACAUUGGAACUGAGACACGGUCCAAACUCCUACGGGAGGCAGCAGUGAGGAAUAUUGGUCAAUGGGCGAGAGCCUGAACCAGCCAAGUAGCGUGAAGGAUGACUGCCCUAUGGGUUGUAAACUUCUUUUAUAAAGGAAUAAAGUCGGGUAUGCAUACCCGUUUGCAUGUACUUUAUGAAUAAGGAUCGGCUAACUCCGUGCCAGCAGCCGCGGUAAUACGGAGGAUCCGAGCGUUAUCCGGAUUUAUUGGGUUUAAAGGGAGCGUAGAUGGAUGUUUAAGUCAGUUGUGAAAGUUUGCGGCUCAACCGUAAAAUUGCAGUUGAUACUGGAUAUCUUGAGUGCAGUUGAGGCAGGCGGAAUUCGUGGUGUAGCGGUGAAAUGCUUAGAUAUCACGAAGAACUCCGAUUGCGAAGGCAGCCUGCUAAGCUGCAACUGACAUUGAGGCUCGAAAGUGUGGGUAUCAAACAGGAUUAGAUACCCUGGUAGUCCACACGGUAAACGAUGAAUACUCGCUGUUUGCGAUAUACGGCAAGCGGCCAAGCGAAAGCGUUAAGUAUUCCACCUGGGGAGUACGCCGGCAACGGUGAAACUCAAAGGAAUUGACGGGGGCCCGCACAAGCGGAGGAACAUGUGGUUUAAUUCGAUGAUACGCGAGGAACCUUACCCGGGCUUAAAUUGCAGAUGAAUUACGGUGAAAGCCGUAAGCCGCAAGGCAUCUGUGAAGGUGCUGCAUGGUUGUCGUCAGCUCGUGCCGUGAGGUGUCGGCUUAAGUGCCAUAACGAGCGCAACCCUUGUUGUCAGUUACUAACAGGUUCUGCUGAGGACUCUGACAAGACUGCCAUCGUAAGAUGUGAGGAAGGUGGGGAUGACGUCAAAUCAGCACGGCCCUUACGUCCGGGGCUACACACGUGUUACAAUGGGGGGUACAGAAGGCGGCUACCUGGUGACAGGAUGCUAAUCCCAAAAACCUCUCUCAGUUCGGAUCGAAGUCUGCAACCCGACUUCGUGAAGCUGGAUUCGCUAGUAAUCGCGCAUCAGCCAUGGCGCGGUGAAUACGUUCCCGGGCCUUGUACACACCGCCCGUCAAGCCAUGGGAGCCGGGGGUACCUGAAGUGCGUAACCGCGAGGAGCGCCCUAGGGUAAAACUGGUGACUGGGGCUAAGUCGUAACAAGGUAGCCGUACCGGAAGGUGCGGCUG
rnacentral:rRNA from 1 species